AAUACAUAGUAGGUUUUAAUAGUAUUGUCAUUGGAACAAGAGGUAAAUAUAUUUCAAGUAGAAAACGCUAAUCUUUUACUGACAUUACUACAGUUAAAAAAAUAUGGGUGAAUGAACGCACCUCGUGAAGGCUGACACUGGACCCGAGAUUAAAACGAACACAAAUAAAUAAAAAACAUAAAUGAAGACUUAAAUCAUUUUAUUUAUUUUAUAAAUAAACUAAAUUGGAUAUCUAAAGGCACGACAGCUAGCGUAUAACAGCAAAGGAUAUUUACAUAAAAGAUAAAUGAUUGAAUAAAAUGUACAACUUAACAAUUUCCAUGAGUAAAAUAAAAUAAAAAAGAAGAAUAUUUCGCUCUUAAAAUAAUAUACUACCCGUGCAAAUAAAGAUUGGGCUGAGCUGCCUCGCACAGGAGACAGCGAUAGUGUGCGAGUAGGAGGUGAAUAGAGGCGUCAUAUUCAGUCCCAUACUUUAUCUACGCGAGUAUUCAAAAUCGAAAUUCCCUAUACAACUAUACAGCGAAUUCCGUCUAAAACAUAUCAGUCGAAUCCACUAUAAAUCACAGUAUAAAUUAAUCAUUAUGGCUGAGCUGUAAUUAUUAAACGAUUCAUACGGCAAGUCUUUAUUAAAACCUGAUAUAUUUUUUU